rnacentral:rRNA from 1 species
AACGCGAAGAACCUUACCUGGGCUUGAACUACGGAUGGUAAGCCGUUGGAAACAGUGGCUGACCCGCAAGGGAGUCCGCAGAGGUGCUGCAUGGUUGUCGUCAGCUCGUGUCGUGAGAUGUUGGGUUAAGUCCCGCAACGAGCGCAACCCCUAUUCGAUGUUGCUAAUCCCGCAAGGGAUGCACUCUUCGAAAACUGCCUUCGAUAAGAAGGAGGAAGGUGGGGAUGACGUCAAAUCCUCAUGGCCCUUAUGUCCAGGGCUACACACGUGUUACAAUGGCCGGUACAAUGGGAAGCAAUACCGUAAGGUGGAGCCAAACCCACAAAGCCGGCCCCAGUUCAGAUUGUGGGCUGCAACUCGCCCACAUGAAGGCGGAAUCGCUAGUAAUCGCUGAUCAGCAGGCAGCGGUGAAUACGUUCCCGGGCCUUGUACACACCGGUACUA